UACGUAGGGUGCAAGCGUUGUCCGGAAUUAUUGGGCGUAAAGGGCGCGUAGGCGAUUUGGCAAGUCUUGUGUGAAAGCCCACAGCCUAACUGUGGAAGUGCACAAGAUACUGCUGAAUUUGAGUUCAGGAGAGGAAGGCAGAACUCCCGGUGUAGCGGUGAAAUGCGUAGAGAUCGGAAGGAACGCCGGUGGCGAAAGCGACACACUGGACCUUUUCUGACGCUGAGGCGCGAAAGCCAGGGGAGCAAACGGG
rnacentral:rRNA from 1 species